rnacentral:rRNA from 1 species
ACUCAAAUGAAUUGACGGGGGCUCACACAAGCGGUGGAGCAUGUGGCUCAAUUCGAAGCAACGCGAAGAACCUUACCCGGGUUUGACAUGGUUGGAUGCUUUCUGGGGAUAACUCAGAAAGUUGCCCUUCGGGGUGAAACUUCCACAGGUGUUGCAUGGCUGUCGUCAGCUCGUGCUGUGAAGUGUCGGGUUAAGUCCCUUAACGAGCGAAACCCCUAUCGUCAGUUACCAGCGGGUCAUGCCGGGGACUCUGGCGAGACUGCCGGCGUUAAGCCGGAGGAAGGCGGGGAUGACGUCAAGUCAUCAUGGCCUUUAUGCCCGGGGAUGCACACGUGCUACAAUGGCAUGAACAAAGCGACGCAAGACCGCGAGGUGGAGCAAAUCGCAGAAAACAUGCCCCAGUUCGGAUUGGAGUCUGCAAUUCGACUCCAUGAAGUUGGAAUCGCUAGUAAUCGCGCAUCAGCUACGGCGCGGUGAAUGUGUUCCUGAGCCUUGUACACACCGCCCGU